UUUCGCAAUGCCCGAAAGGGUGACGAAGCGACGCCGCGUGGGUGAGGAAGGCCUUCGGGUUGUAAAGCCCUGUCAGGAGUUAAGAAAUGUAGAUUCGCUAAUAUCGUGUCUAUUUGACGAAGGCUCCAAAGGAAGCCACGGCUAACUCUGUGCCAGCAGCCGCGGUAAUACAGAGGUGGCAAGCGUUGUUCGGAAUUAUUGGGCGUAAAGAGCGCGUAGGUGGAUUUGUAAGUCAGAUGUGAAAGCCUUCUGUUCAACGGAAGAAUUGCAUCUGAAACUGCAGACCUUGAGUGUAGGAGGGGAGAAUGGAACUUCUGGUGGAGCGGUGAAAUGCGUAGAUAUCAGAAGGAACGCCGGCGGCGAAAGCGAUUCUCUGGCCUAUUACUGACACUCAGUGCGCGAAAGCUAGGGGAGCAAACGGGAUUAGAUACCCCGGUAGUCCUAGCCGUAAACGAUGGGCACUAAGUAGAGGGGUUUU
rnacentral:rRNA from 1 species